UUUUUCACACUGGUGGCAAUGGGUUCGAACCCUCAUGCCUUUAGGAUUUAUGAGAUUGUUUUUUAAUUUUGUUGAGAAAUCAACAAAAUCCUUUAACCCUAACUUUUUUAUUUUUCAUUCCCCUCUUCUCUCUCUUGUUCCCUGCCUCCAGACUCCCUCUAUGAACCCUAACCCAGUAACCCUCUCGCGCCGCCUGAGCUUCCUGUCUCUCUCGCUCGGUCUUCAAUCGCUCUGUCUCUCUCAAUCUCUCAGGCAACCCGCGACAGCGCGACCCUUCUCACUCUCAAUCUCUCACACCUCGCCCUCUCCAUCAGUCUCUCAUCUCGCCGUUUCGAGUCUCGAUAGCAAAAGGCGACCCACGACGGGGCGACCCAUCUCACUCUCAAUCUCUCACACCUCGCCCUCGCCGUCAGUCCUUCAUCUCGCCGUGAGCUUCUUCUUGCCGUUUCGAGUCUCGACUGCAAAAGACGGAAGCUCUCUACUCCAAACUCUACGAAAAGUACACAAAAAUCAAGGUG